UGCAGUCGACGAUGAUCCCAGCUUGCUGGGGGAUUAGUGGCGAACGGGUGAGUAACACGUGAGUAACCUGCCCUUGACUCUGGGAUAAGCCUGGGAAACCGGGUCUAAUACUGGAUAUGACCUUCUGGCGCAUGCCAUGUUGGUGGAAAGCUUUAUUGCGGUUUUGGAUGGACUCGCGGCCUAUCAGCUUGUUGGUGGGGUAAUGGCCUACCAAGGCGACGACGGGUAGCCGGCCUGAGAGGGUGGACGGCCACACUGGGACUGAGACACGGCCCAGACUCCUACGGGAGGCAGCAGUGGGGAAUAUUGCACAAUGGGCGCAAGCCUGAUGCAGCGACGCCGCGUGGGGGAUGAAGGCCUUCGGGUUGUAAACCUCUUUCAGUAGGGAAGAAGCGAAAGUGACGGUACCUGCAGAAGAAGCGCCGGCUAACUACGUGCCAGCAGCCGCGGUAAUACGUAGGGCGCAAGCGUUAUCCGGAAUUAUUGGGCGUAAAGAGCUCGUAGGCGGUUUGUCGCGUCUGCCGUGAAAGUCCGGGGCUUAACUCCGGAUCUGCGGUGGGUACGGGCAGACUAGAGUGAUGUAGGGGAGACUGGAAUUCCUGGUGUAGCGGUGAAAUGCGCAGAUAUCAGGAGGAACACCGAUGGCGAAGGCAGGUCUCUGGGCAUUAACUGACGCUGAGGAGCGAAAGCAUGGGGAGCGAACAGGAUUAGAUACCCUGGUAGUCCAUGCCGUAAACGUUGGGCACUAGGUGUGGGGGACAUUCCACGUUUUCCGCGCCGUAGCUAACGCAUUAAGUGCCCCGCCUGGGGAGUACGGCCGCAAGGCUAAAACUCAAAGGAAUUGACGGGGGCCCGCACAAGCGGCGGAGCAUGCGGAUUAAUUCGAUGCAACGCGAAGAACCUUACCAAGGCUUGACAUGAACUGGAACAGCGCAGAGAUGUGUUGGCCGCUUGCGGCCGGUUUACAGGUGGUGCAUGGUUGUCGUCAGCUCGUGUCGUGAGAUGUUGGGUUAAGUCCCGCAACGAGCGCAACCCUCGUUCUAUGUUGCCAGCGCGUUAUGGCGGGGACUCAUAGGAAACUGCCGGGGUCAACUCGGAAGAAGGUGGGGACGACGUCAAAUCAUCAUGCCCCUUAUGUCUUGGGCUUCACGCAUGCUACAAUGGCCGGUACAAAGGGUUGCGAUACUGUGAGGUGGAACUAAUCCCAAAAAGCCGGCUCCAGUUC
rnacentral:rRNA from 1 species